UUGAUAGGGAGUCGAAACUGCCUCGCCUCUCAAAUCCACCGCCAAAUCUACGCGGUUCCGGCGCCUUAUUGCUGACCCAAGUCUGGGCUUCAUCGGCUUUUGAUUGCGAUUCGAAGAAUCCACCUCUCUCUCUCCUCUCAAAGCUACUUCCCACCGUCGAUUUCUUCCCGGCGGCCCAGUUAUCAAUCUCGUCAGCACGAGAGGGACCAGAUUCCCUGGGUGCAUCCCUAUUGAAACCGCCCUGCCUCCUCCCUUCAUCAGAAACCCUAGAAGAGGAUCCCCACCUAGGAUUCGGCGAAUCUUCGUUAUAACGACCGUAGGACUUAAAGCCACCGCCUAGGCGCGAGCGGUCGAGCUCCUCAGCGGAGCGUUGGCGUGGGCCGGUGGGGAGGGAGAGGAGCUCGUCAUGAGUGAGACGGUCCGGCUGUGACGAGGGCUUAGAAGAGCCGUAUGUGGUGAACUCGCCAAGGGAAAGGGUUUGGCCCUUGUUCUUCUUUUUAGGUUUGCUGGCGGCGGCCGCGGAAAGAGAAGGAAAAUCUCCGGGAAGAGCGGCGGUGUCUUGCUGUUCUUUGAGGAGUUCGGCCUCGUGCUCCUCGGCGUCUAGGGCCCAUGCGCCGGGCUUUCCCCAUGGAGACGAAACCGUUGCAGCCAUGGUUGUGUUUUUGCCUUUUUUCGCAGAUUUUUCUUCAAGAGUGUCUGGAUGGUCUUAGAUUGCGUUGGUUGGCAGCUAAACUGGUCGGGGCUGGCAUUGCUUAAUAUGUAGUGGAAAGAUGUGAGAUUUGAUCCGACGGUGGAGAACGACAACUAGAGAUUCUCUUGGUUGACGGAAUGUUGGCUUUGAUGCGAUCAUACGGACGGUCGUGAUCUCAUAAGGAUUAAGUAUAAUAUUUUCCCUUAGCCUGGAGAGAAAUUAGGGAUGAACCUGUUGUAAUUAGUUUUAUUUUCUAUAAUUUAUUUUUAAAUUUAUAGAAUUAUUCUAAAAAUAAGUUGGACUAUAUAGAUUAUUUCUAUGCAGGCGUCAAUUUUAAAAAAAAAAUUCUAAAAAAAUAAUUAUUGUGUGUAUUUUUUCUUUCUUAUAUUUAAGUAAAACAAGAUAUUUGUUUCUGUUAUUUAUUAAAAUUAACUUCAUAAAUUUAAUACUGAAUUAUAAAAAAAAAAAAAAUUGAGACAUAAUUGUAAAGUAAUUAAUAAUUUAAUAAAAAAUACUAAUUAUAAUUUUAAAAAACCUUUUUUUUUUAUAAAUAUUUCUGACUUUGAUAUAAAUAUCAGAAUAUAAUCUCACAACUUCUAUCUAGUAUUAAAUAUUUAUUUAUUUAUUAUUACUAUAAUAUUUAUUUUUUUUAAAUUUUACACUGAUUUAUUCAGCCAAGUAAUUAUUUUAUGUAAACUAAUGAUCUAAAAUUUGAAAUAAUUAAGAAAUCCGUACUACACCAUUAGUACCGAUCUGCUCAGAGUAUUUUUUGUUAAGCAAAUCUUAGAAGAAUAAGAGUAGCCCGCUUUAAACGUGCGUAUCUAUCUGAAUAUUGAAUACCCCCCUUUUUUAAAAAAAAAAAGUUUAUCAAUCUUUUUUAUUGUGUUUUUUAUUAAUUUAAUCAAUAUUUAUAACAAAUAAAGCAAAUUUUUAUUUAAAUUAUUAUUGUUUAAAAAUGAAAGUAAUUUUUAAAUUUUGCUUCAUCUCUUGUAGUUUUACACUUGAUAAAUUUUUUAUACAAAUAAAAAAUAAUCAUGUUAUAUUAAUUUUCCCUUUAUAAAAAAAAAAUAACAAAACUCAGAAUCAAAUAAUGGAGGUGAUAUUUCUUAAACGUUAAGCACGGAGAUAUUUUUUAAAAGGCCGAAGUCGGCCGCUUUCAACUCCUGCAGAUUUGGUUUUUAAUCGCGAACAAUCCUCAAGUCAAAUUCAAAUGUGACACCUCCUUCACCAACAGGAAAUUAAUUGGCAUAUUAAUUUAAUAAUCAAUCUUAGCCGAAUUGAAACUUAAAACAAGCAAUGUACAUCUACAAUAAUAUCCUCAAAAGUGCAUGUAAACAAAAUUCCCCCACCUUUAGCAAAGUGAUUCUUGCACACUUUUCCAAAUGCAAAGCUCCAUCGCAAAAGCCACUGACAUCUAAAAGCCAGAUUCUUCAUAAUCCAGAGAUUUCGGUAAUAAUGAUUUAAGUGUACAACAAGUAAAGGCUUGCUUGAAAAUUACAAAAAUGAUUCGGCAACUGCACGUAUAUAAUAAACUGGAGAAGAAAAUGAGCCGGAAAGAAUAGAAGAAUCAAUCAAAAGCCCGUCUAUGGCAAAACCUCAAUUGGAAGUGUGUACUAGAAUGAAGAAUAAAGGCAAGCUUUCCUAUGUAAAACUUCUAGUAUCACAAGACUAUCAAGAGAACUGUAAAUGAUACCAUUUUAUUGGUGUAUGUUGAGUUCCUUAGCCUGAUGUUCGAAGUUUGGGUGACGCAUCAUCCAUUCAGAGAUUCCAGUUUGGUGUCCAGGUCACNNNNNNNNNNNNNNNNNNNNNNNNNNNNNNNNNNNNNNNNNNNNNNNNNNNNNNUGUUGAGAAGAUUGUUCUUGUUCUCUUGUUGCGUGAAGUAUAAUUGUUCCUGAAAGGACAGUGACGAAUCCACAUAUCUCAGAGGCUAUACUGCUUGCAUUUUGGCCCGACCAAUCCUGUAGAAAACAUCAAAUGCCAUAAGUUUUGCAUUAAUCUGUUCCUUGUAUUAACUGCCCAGAAGAGGGAAAUCAUCCCAAAUGAAAAAAGAAACCAGAAGAUGAAUCAAAUAAUUUACCUUAAACAUUAUCACACUGGCAACAAUAGUAAGGGUUGUAAACAUUACAUAAUAUACAGGAGAAACAAUUGCAGCAUUGAAAGUAUCCAAGGCCUGAAACAAAGAAAAUAAUGAACUUAGACCACAAGGCAAUGCCACUCCUCUAAAUGAUAUUCGGCUUAUAUGCACUAUAAGGACGUAAAAAGUUACGAUGAUGGUCGUUAAACCAACUGGAACACUGAAAGAGAACCACCCAAGCAUGUAGUGCCUCUUAAGUUUAUCAAAUGUGUCAGCCCGUUGUGUGACAGUGACACAGUGAGGAAAAAGCAGAAAUGGCCAGGUGCAAAGCUGCUUGAAGGACUACUUAGAUCCAAUUUGCACUUUUAACGAUUAAAAGUCUUUAGAAUGUUUGAAACUUAUAAUUUAUGAGGAAUAUUAAAAUAAAGAUGGGAGUAUUCCUAUAAAUUUGUCCCAAAAGAAUGAACCAUGAUCUUAUCUAUCUUCACACAUCCACCAAGCACUAGAUAUCCUAAGUAACAAAAAACAAGAAUCCUCCGUAUGUUGAAACAAGAUGAUAUUCAUCACUCAUUUGAGUAGAUGUUAUGUGUCAUGGCAUGGUGCCAUUUGACGAAGACUACCAGAUGAAGAAAGAAAAAGAAUUAAGUGCUUGGCUGCUAAAUACGAAGUGUUUAGUUUGUUAUGUUUGAAUUUAUUAUAUUAUAUCUAUGUAUUAUGUUGUCUCUUUUAAUCAGUUAGAGUAGGCAGUUUGUUUAUGUAUUUUGUUCUGUCUUUUAGUCAGUAAAGGUGUGCAGUUUGGAUAAGCAGUUCAUUGCACUUGAAUUCGUCUUAGUUGCUUGUCCUAAGGGAUAGGCAGCUCCCGGUUUAAGAAAAUAGUUAUAGUUCCAGUCUUGCGUAUCCUACUAAAUCUAUAAGGAAUAAAGAGGUUAGCAGAAAAUAAUUUCAGAAAAAUUUGUAGUCUCUCUAACGUGUGGAGAACUUAGACUCUCUUGAUGUACCAACUAAUCCCAUAACAAGAACAAGAUCCUAAAGUAGGGACCAGAAGACUAUAACAUGUUGGUCAAGCUCAUCUAUUCGCUUUAUAGAUGCUAAGCCAUCAUCCAAUUAAUGUUCCCUGGUUCACCUGAAGGAAUGAUAUGGGAAGUUAAGACUUCAUCCAACUAAUGUUCUCCUGAAUCACCUGAAGGAAUGAAAUUGCUAGUUUUCCAAAUUCUAAAAAUCUUCUGAAGUGGCAAACACCAACUCACCUUGUUCAGAUAAUUUAAUUGUGUAAUGACACAUAUUGCAGCAACUGUGAUGAAAAACCAAGUCUGAGGAUAAGCCAUCUGGCUUAUCCCCUCCAACGUAAGCUUUAUUGCAAUUCCAAUCGCCUUUAUGCUCACAACCUGGAUAACACGUAAGAAAUAUUUUGAGACUAAUACAUAACAUGGCAGAGUAGAAAAUAUAAACAUGCAACCAUGGAAAGAAUUAUAACCAUGUACUCAAAGAGGAAAUGUACUUACUGUUAUUGAACCCAUUAAAGAACAAAUUCCCAAGUAAACCAAUACGUUUGUCUGGCCAUAGCGAGGUUCAAAGUGCAAAAUCAAAGCUAAAACUAAAGAAAGUGUAGCUGCCACAUAGAUUAGAAAGGCUGUACGUAAAAUAGAAAAGAAAAAAGUUAAACAAUUAUUCGAAAGAAAAAGAAUAUUAUUUAACCAAAAAAAAAAAAUUUUGAAUAGAGGGACAGAACCUGGUUGAGUUGCCAGAGUCCAGAUUUCUUCUAUAGAAUUUGGAGUGUGUUCUUGAGGUGCAUGAAUAACAAUCACGACUGAUCCCACAAUACAGGAGACACAUCCCACAACUCCCAAUUUCUGCAGUUUUUCCUUCAACAAGAAGUGUGCCAAAACAGCACUUCUCAGAUUCAUCAAAUGUGUUAGUGAGGAAAGGGGAAAAUGUUUUUUGGACUUAGUUGAUAAGAAAUUACCAUAUGUGACAAAUAAACCAAGGAAACAUCUAUAGUUACCUGAUAAUUAUACUCAAUGCACCAAGUGGAGUCACAAGAACAGCAGGAGCAUAAACAUAAGCCACAAAAUUUGCCACCUCCCCAACAAUCACUAUAUUUUCAAACAUUAGGAGAGGAUUAAUAUUUGGUAAUGUACGUCCUCAAGAAUUUUUCUUUUCGUUAAGAAGCAAGAAGACCAAGAGAAUGGGACAAGUACAAAUGGGAAGGAACUUGCAUUGGUAUUGCUAUACUUACUUGUCACCAUGCCUGCCCACCAAAGUGGCUCUUGUAAGUAGGUAUAACCUCCAACUCCUACACAAUUCAUUCGAAAAAGAAAAACUUCAAUUACAUGAACUCAACAAAUAUUUUCUAACUCAACAAUGAAUUCUUUUGCUAGACAACUAACUUGACAAAUAAUUGAGAAUAAAAAGACACUAGACAGAAAGAUCCUUUCAUUUCUUAAGAAGGAUAUCUUUUGUCAUCCUUUUUUUUUUUUUUUUGCUAAAAGGUGUUGGGAAGAAAACUAGUUGCCACCUAGUGGCCAACAUCAGAUUUCUCUUUUUUUCUAAAAAAAAAAAGAUUAAAACGAGCAUGAGAAUCUAGUCAUGAAAAUCUCUUCAGGAACCAGAGAAAACACUUUUGUUUUGUGUUUUACUACUCAAGCCAUGCAUCACAAUAAAAGAUUCAAAUAAUGAGUCAUCAGAAAAGAACAAUGAAGAAUUUGUUGUGUAAACAAAAUGAUACCCUACUAAAUUUCCUAAGCAGGAGAGACAUUAAAUAGAUCCAGCCACCAAACGGACUGUUGGAGAAGAAGAGAAAAUGAAAACAAUUGUAAGGACAAGGCAUGCUAUCAAUACUUUGAUUCGAUGCCAAAUUCCUUCUACCCUCCUUUGCCAAAUUCCUCUACUGAGCUCACCAAGAUUCAGCCAAACAAAAGUCAACACAAAACCACCAAAAUCAGUAAUCCUUUUUGUAACGCAACAUGACACGUCGCAUAAACUUUUUCCUACCAUUUUUCAUGAGCACAGUAUCUGCAAUUCACAAAAGCUUAGUUCAUCCCUGAAGAUCCUCAUCUUUGCAUAAGGAUAUCUAUUUCUCAACUCAAAAGUCAUUAAAAAUCUGUCGCACUCUGUAAUAUCAUCUAAGUAUAGCAACUACUAUUUGGUUCAAGGAUCUUUGCUUACUCCACUAAAAAUUGAGAAAUAUUCCAACAUACUUUCUAAUCGAACAGAAUCAGACUCAAAAUUCCAGCCCGAAUUCAGCAAAAUCGGCAACAAAAUCCAGUUAAACGCAACAAAAACUGGUAGUACAAUUCUCAAAUUCACAUUUCUUUGAGUUAUCCGAGUGAUUAGUCUAAAAUCUUACCGAGGAAUAAAAAAUUAAGGAGAAUAAAACCAAAUCAAGAAAUAAAACCUCAAAAGAUGAAUUAAAAAAAAUAAUAAUAAAAUCGCAAAAGAUAGGACUAACCUGCUCGAGCACCAGUGGCACCAGCUCGCUUGAGCCCUUUCUUCUUCAAAAUGAAACUCGAUCCUAUGAACGCGCUUGACGCUACGGCCAAAAUCAGGCCCUUGGAAUUCUCCGAUAAUCCCAUCCCUCGCUUCCCGUCUACUUUAUCCUUCUGUGCUUUACUACACACAUAUAAAUUGUCCCUGAAUAUUUAUGUACUCCCUACACAUGUAUGAAUCCCAGCUCAGGCCACUCUCUUGUUCGCCUACAAUCACAUGAACAUUGCUGUCGCACUUUCUUUUACUAUGGAGCACCUAUUCUAAAUGCGACAACAGUUUUCCCGCCAAAAGGAGACGGGAUUUCCGCGAGAACGAUAGCCAAAAAGAAUAGCACAAGACAACUAGUUGUCCCAGCAACGGCGACGUUUAGAGAGUCUCUUCGAAUUGUAGAGUUGUAGAGAGAGAGAGAGAGAGAGGAGAUCUCGGUACUCGUCAAAAUGAGGACUCAACUCAGUGGGUUGGUGCUUUGUCGGAAAAUUCCAAUUCCGCGUGGCUGGCCGCGGCAGUGAUCACGUGCGAAACCACAAUUUUUUCAAAAAUGAAAUCGGCUUCUUCCCCGCCGUUGAUCUCUGUUCAGACUUUUUGGGCUUCGGUUUUCGCGGAUGGAAAAUUUGGUGCACUUUGCGCGUUGGCUUCUGAUUUUGUUUUUUACCGAGUGGAUUUGGAUGGUUCAAGAGUUGAGAAAGAAGAAGGUCUGAGUGAAUGUCAGAAAUACCCUCGAGAGAGGGAGCUGUAACGUAAGAAGUUAGAAUAAAGAUUUAUACACACAAAUAAUUUAGAAUUUUGAACGAAACAAUUUCAAAUUUAUUUAUAUUUAUCGGUGGGGGGAGUUCGGCACGUGGGGACAACAUAAUGGAUGGGAAGGGUAAAAUGGUAAUUUAAAACGGCAACUUCACGUCACACAAAAGCUGGAAGCCAGCAAAUGCAGAAUAUGCACUACUUCCGCAGUUUUGUUUUUAUUAAAAAACGAAAUAACUUUUUUUAAAUUUAUACAAUGAAAUACACAAAAUAUAAGUAUAAAGCUAGUUUUCUAAUAAUAAAUUAUAUUAUAUUUUUUACUAAAAAAAUAACAAGCAACCGUUAAAGGAAAGCUCAUAAUUAAAAAAAAAAAAAAAAGGGAGCAAGACAAUGAAUGAGGACUACUAGUCCUAACGAGUUUAUUCAUAAGCAAGCUCUCUGUGUUAUAAUAACUUAUACAUAAAUUAUUAUAAUGGGUAUAUUCAUGAUCAAGUUUUCUCCUUAUAAUAUAUAAUUAAUAAUCUAAUAAAAAAUUAAAAUUUAAUAAUUUAUUAUAAAUAUUUAAUGAUUGAGCGGGCAAGUUCGAGAAGGGCAUGGAGCAAAUACAUGAUUUUUGUUUUAAUUAUUUAAUAUUGAUUAUAAUCAUUAAUUAGGUAAAUGAAAAGGUUUUGUGUAAUUAAUAAUCGAAAGACGUUUCACAAAAAAAAAAAAAAAAAAAAAAUGGAAAUCACAUUUCUCAAGUGGAUUCACAUCUUGUAUUAAGAUGUAAAAUGAAAGGCGUCUACAUUAUUAUAUAUAAUGUAUGGUAUAUUUGGUGCACCGAGAAACGAGACAAUCACUCAUUUUUUAUCAUGUGUUUAUAUAUAUAUAUAUAUAUGGAAAAAGUAAGUAAUAUAAAUAUGCAAAAUUAUCGGGUAAUUAAACAACUUUUGGAUUCAAGACUAAAAAAAAUUACAAGGACUAUGAGUUGUUAUAUUUGGACUUGAUCAUUUUAUUAUGUUGAUAUAAAUAUAAUACAAAUAAAAUAUUUUUACUAAUUAUAUAUAUAUAUAUAUAUAUAUAUCGGUGCACAGCGAAUUGGGUUCAGACAAAUCUUAGAAGAUUACGUACAAACCUGCCUUGACCCACCUUUACUUUUCUCAUCAAUCCGAAUUCCAUUCAAAUUUAAACCUACACUUUUCCGAAUUAUAUUUGAAAUGGUUUGAAUUUUACACAUUAAUUUUAAGAUUUUUGAACAAAAUAUCAUCUUAAUACGUAUACACGAUAUAUAUAUAUAUAUACAUACACAGAUGUGUGUGUGUGUGUGUGUACACACGUGUGUAAGUAUUUAUGUGUUCAUGCAUGUUGGAGAACGACGAAGGCGAUUUAAAUUUGUUAAAAUAGAAGACUGGAUUCAUUUGGGUUUGCUCGUAGGAGAGACUGGGUUUAAGACUAAAUGGGCCUUUUGAGCCCACAAACAAUUAGAAAUUAUACAAAUGUGAUUUAUUCCUUGAAAUUAAAUUAAUUAGUGUUGUGCAUCUGAUCUUUUUUUUAAAAUUUUAUUCUCAUAUUAAAUAUUUUUAUGUAAAAUUCAAUUCUAAUUUACAUAUAAUUACGACACGGACAAGACCAUUUAGGUUAACCCCACCUGGAGCUUCACCCAGUAUAUCUAGGUUCAAUGUACCGAAUCAGAUUUAAUCCCAUUCGUUGACCAGGUUGGCUGAACCAAACUGAAACCCUAACCCGAACGGGAGGCGGGCCAAGUCUAUCACCCACCAUGAUAUUUUCAAAACAGAGAAUUUUUUUAGAAGGAAAAAUCAAAAUACAACUUUUUUAUCCACAGAGUAGUACAUCUGAGCCACAUCACACUGCAAUGGCCUUAUCCACCACAAGCAUAAGAGCAUGGCAUUUAAGUAUAUGCCGGUUUUUGCCCUACCCUUCUUAUUCUCGGAGCCCACAAUUGUUGAUUUCACUCAUACUCAUGCAUAAAUUUUGUGUUUCGGAUAAAAAUCGUUUAUUUCUUCCGAAUGCCUGCCAAAUUCACUGAAUCACAAUUCACCCAAGCAUGAACAAAGCUUCUUUUAUACUCAUUAAUCGAGAUUAUGAAAGAUGGUCAAGCAAAUUGUAUACCAAUCAGAGAGUUAGCGAAGAAAAAGCAGUCACGAUAAAAGUAAACCUAUCUUAUUAAUGGCAGUUCAUUAGGAACACAUGAAGAUCUCAAGAACCACUAGACCCGACCCCCCCACGAAAAGCCAGUCACCUUUAUCAAUCCACCUCUGAGAAAAAAAAGAAAGGGAAAAUGACAGGACAUAAACAAAGGACUGGUAAUCGGAAAACGAAAUUUCAACCCCUAAGAAAUGUAGCGACUCCUUAAUGAUAUAGAUCGAUCGUCAACGAAGUGACUCCAGAUCCCCCAUUACUAUCUAAGAAAGUUGACCGCAAUCGGCUACGACAACGGGCUUCGAAGUCCUUCCGGAAGAGGAACCGACCUUCUCCGCAGACUUGAUCACGUCCAUGCCCUCAACAACUUGGCCGAACACGACGUGCUUCCCAUCGAGCCACUCCGUCUUCGCCACGCAGAUGAAGAACUGGGAUCCGUUAGUGCCAGGUCCGGCGUUGGCCAUGGAAAGGAUACCGGGACCGGUGUGCUUCUUGACGAAGUUCUCGUCAGCGAACUUUGCGCCGUAAAUCGACUCGCCUCCGGUGCCAUUUCCAGCGGUGAAGUCACCGCCCUGGCACAUGAAUCCGGGGAUCACGCGGUGGAAGGUCGAACCCUUGUAGUGGAGGGGCUUGCCCGAGCGGCCGACGCCCUUCUCGCCAGUGCAGAGAGCACGGAAGUUCUCCGCGGUUCUCGGCGUGGUAUCGGCGAAGAGCUCCAUCACGACGCGUCCAGCAGGCACACCGCCGAUGGUGAGAUCGAAAAAGACCUUAGGGUUAACCAUGGUUGCAGACCGUGAACUGAGAUUUGAGGAGAAAUGAGUUGUCCUACCGUUUCUCCUGCUGCUGGUGUUGGUGUUGUUGUUGUUGUUAGGGUUUUGGGAAGCGUGGGGGGAGUUUAUAUAGCGGAGGAAGCGGUGAAUAUCUGAGGGAGAGGAGGAUCGUGGCCGUCGAUUGAGGACGGGUGGAGAAAUCUCCAGUAUGGUUGAGAGAAACCGCGGUUGGGUUACGCUUGACCAGGGUUAAGAUUUGUGGGGAUCCGAGGCUGUGAUGGCACCAGUUCUGAUAUCGGUUAUCAGUCGACACUAGCAUAUGCUUUUGUCUUAUUUGGGGCUCACCGGGAAAUACUGAAACGACGCCGUUUUUCCACAAGAGUAAGAAGAAACUGUCGAAAAACUGAUGCCAGUUAAUGAGGUCAAGUACGACUAUCUUGGGGAUAAAUUUUAGUAUUACCGUUGGUGUUAAAUUUAUGGCAUUACUGUCAAAUCAGUAUUUUAACCCUUGAAUUAUAAUUUUCUAAAAAAAAAUCAUUAUUCAUGUUAAGCAUUAAUAUACUACAGUAAAAAUUUCCAGCUAAGAACAAUAUUGAAGUCAACUUUUUUUUAAGAUAAAGUAAUAGGCGGAUAACAAAAUUUUCUCUUUAAAAAUCUAAAUACAAGUGAGAAAAGUAACAUUACAUUUACCAUUUAACUGAGAAAUUUUUAUCCUUAUUAUUGGAGUCCAAUUGAGCUCACACAAGUCUGUUUGAAGGAUAUUUGGAAUAUUAAAUUUCAUGCUCAUAAGCAACUUUUAGAAACUGUUUAGUAACAUAAAAAUAAAAUAUUUAUUAAGUUGUUAGAAAUAAAUUUAUUUUAUAAAUUUCUUUGUCCACUCAACUAAUAAAAUAUUUAUAAUAAAUAUAAUUUUUUUUAAAAAUAAUUAAUAUGUUAAAGCUAACUCAAAACACCCUCCUAUCUCAAGCCCAUCUCUGUAGAGAAUCUCAAAAGCCUAGUUUCCCGUUUACCAGCUUAUCAUCCAUUUCUUUUUUUCUGUUUUUACCAAUAAGGUAACGUUAGAUAAACAUGUAUGUAUAUACAUGUAUAUAUAUUAUCUGAAUUUCUUUUAGAGCUGAGAAGUUUUUGCAGACAAUAUUACUUAGAAUAAUGCAAAAAUCAACCAGCAAGAAAGAAGCAUACGCUGGAGUGAUUUUAUUUGCUUACAAGAUCUUGGGAGUUUGUUAAUUUUCAACCCAGCGGAUUUAACGCACUAAAGAGUAGAUUUUCUUUUCUCACACGGCACUCUUGUUCUGUGCUAAAGCAAAAUCCAAAUUAGCGGAAAGAAGAAAAGAUCGGAGAGAUACUAUAAUUUUCCAUUAAUAAAACAACAAAAAAUGCUUUAUUUCAUGGCCUCAAAACAAAAAGUGCCUACAUUUUAAAGAUGCCCCAUUUGAGGUAAAGAGAACUCAACAAUAGUUGAAGCCAGAGGUUCACUACUAAAUAAUAAAACUAUUGUUUCAAAAAGUGGCACAGUCAAGGUACUUCCACCAAGUAAUUGAUUCUAAAUAUUACUAUUUUUUCAUUAAUUUAUUUAAAUGAGACAAUGGGACUGGUGACAUCCCUUCGGAAUUCAUUAGAAAAUGCAAAAUACUACCAAAUAAUCCAUUAUGGACGUGUACGGGGACAAAGAUGCUAAAGAGAUAAAAACAUCAUUCGGCUGCGUAGGGGGCGAAAAGAAGUUGCAGGCUAUAUUGAAUAGCCUGGCUUUAAAGUUAAAAAAAAAAGCUCAAUAAUUGGUCGAUUUCCUACUCUCUUGAUUGCCCGUUUCGUUAUUUUAGCUGUUUGGAGCAAGUCUUUUCAUGAGUAGUCAUGCUCCGUAUUCUUUACAGACAGCUAUAAGGCGGUCAGAUGCCUCUUGUCGGCAUAUAGCAAAUAAUAGAAACUGUUAAAAGCAAUUAUUAAAGAUUACGUUUGGAGUACACCAAGAAGUUCUGUAAAAUUUAUUUGUGAACUCAUUUAUAUUUUAACUAAAAAUGGUAAAUAUUUAAUCUUAUAUGAUCAAAUUAAACUUGUGAGAAUUCCACCGAGAUUACAACAAAUACAUUCAGAAUAUAUCACUGUUGAUGAAAUUUAAAACGUAUUACUAGAAAUUUCACAUGACCUUAUUUUUCAUAACCUCUUAAAAGAAAUUCCAUCCCUCCUAAUUGUAUUAUGUGCAAAGUUUCAAAUAAUUUCAUAAAAAAUUUUAUAUGCUACAAAAAUAAAACUGAUUAAAAUCUUAUGCUUGUGUUUCACUUGGCUGUGAAAGUUGAACAAUCAGUUCUGUUAUCACCAGUUUCCCCACAAUCCAACCUUCUUGGUGUUGUGGUUCUUGCUGGCUAGCAUAUCAAAUGAAUCUAAUCCAAGAACCUGAUUCACUGGUACAUGCAUCGUAAACUUACUCUUCCAACUGUUACUAUCUAGAAAUUUAAUCAUGGAUUAGGUACACUGUACUGGCAUAUCCAAGUACCAAACCAUAAUCAUGUGCCUGGGCACUAGAGAUUGUCCGUCAAAUGCAGACAAUCAAUGUGAAAACUAAUUAAACUCGUGACGACCUCCAUAACUUGGCAUUCUAAGUCACUAGACGUUUGGAAAUAGUAAAAAAAAAAUGGCUCCAAGAAAAUUUCGGUGCACUGAUGAGCAGAAUAAUAUUACAUAUUCACAUUUAUUUUCUUCCUCAUUUUGUGCAAGUAAGAUGUUAACUACACUUUGAAGAAUGUGGAUGACUUACUGCACUAAUGCAAAAGGAGUUUUAUAAUAACUCCUUUUCUAACAACAAUCCAGGGUAGACAAGUGACAUUACCUGCUUCAAGGAUCUCACAGAUGACUUUAAAAAAGCAUGCCCCUCCGUGGCUGCAAAAGAAAAGACCAGAAUUAUUAUAUGAACUUCAAAAUUUUAAUUGCAUGAUCAUAAGGAAUAUAGAAGGAUCAACACCUUUUAUUAAUAAUUUAGCUUCUUUUGAGAAGUCCUCCACACGACCUAAUACAGGUCUUAUCCCACAAAUCUGUAAAACACAAAGUUCCAAAUACAAAGCCAUCUCCAUCAUCUGAAGUAGUAAUAUACAGACGUACUGAACUCUGUGACUAAUUUGCUUCAAUUUUUUCCCCUCACAAAGCUCAGUUACAAUAGCAAUUGCUUGGUCCUGCACUCAUAACACCAAAAAGAUCAGAAAGGACAAAUACAUUGUGUUACUUUGAGUAAAUUACUCUUAAACUCUUCAGAUAUUAGAAAUUCUACAUAAAGAUAUACAUGCUACCAUCACCUGUAAGCCAUGUAAAAUCUCAGGCAUUGGAAGCUCAGGAAAAUGAGCAAGAUCAACAAAUCCCACAUCCUCUGCCCUCUUAGCAGCACCCUCAGCUUGUAGACAUAGAAAUUUCAAAAGAAGAAAUGCAAUUUUAUAGAUCUGCAAGGCAACAGAGUCUGAGAAGUAUGUUUGAGUAGCAGAGACUUCCGUAACUGGAUCCUUGACCGUCAGAGCAGUUGUGCUCGACUCAGAAGAGGACCUUGGCUGGGCAGCACAACCAGGGCAUGAGAGAGCAAACCAUCCAUUUCUGCUAUUGACAAACAAAGGUUCCAUACAGCAAUCAACCUCCUCCUUUGUAACAGGCGGAGAUAAGAGAGGGGCAGUCUUAUGGGAAGAUUCUGCAUAGCGUUGGGUUCCUCGGCUGAUGAAAGCUAAUAGAUGAAUACUGAUUUCUCUUAAAGGAGAAUCCAUGUCCUUCAUGGCCUUAACCCAGGAUCUCCAAUGUUUCGCUAGCACACACAUUAGCAUGAGAGUAUUCUCUGUUUCUUUGAGAGAACUUAGAGAAGUCUGUCUCCUCUGUAUGCGCUGUCUUUUCUUGUCAUGAUCAUUGGAUGGAAAGUCCGGUGCAGUGAGAUAAUAGGAAAUCAGGUGAGCUUUCUCUGAGAAAAAGAACACUAUCACUUUUUCCACAAUCUCAGCACACACAGAAGUGUCUCCUAAAGAAUGAAUUAUAGCUGUGACCACAGCCAAGCCAAGUCCCCAAAUAUGUUGAGGUUUUUCAGUUUUGUCCAAAGGAUUUUUCUCAUUAUUAAUAACUGAGGUAUCCCUCCCAUCUGAUAAAUCAGCAAACAACACUCUAAGAGAAGAGAGAAAACCAGCAUUGAGAAGCAUCUCAGCACCUCCUCUAACAUGUGCUAUAGUCAAAAAGAACUUCAGUAAUAUAGGAAUUGAUGCAACAGAAUUUUUAUCUUGAAGCUUCAGAAUAACAUGCUGCAAUUUUAGGUGUUGCUGUAUGAUGGGGAACCAAGUAUUAGGUGUCAAAAAUCUUCUCAGUAUUAUGUCCGCAGCAGUCAGGGAGAUGGUAGAAUACUCAGAAGUGCUAAUAAAGUCGGAGAUGAUGGGCAAUAGCCCAAGGCAUACAUUAGAAAUCUCAGGUGUGCCAUCCAGAGAUCCCAUAUCUGCCACCGCAUUUAAACCUGAGUUGAGGGAACCAAAUCUUACUGCCAAGAGAACCGACAUUAAUAUAAGCUUCUUUGUCUUUUUCACCCCAGUAACUGAAGGCUUGAAGGCACUCAGCACCUUAAGGCCAUAACUCAAGGUUCUUAACACUAGCGUGCAAACAGGUGCUGAAAGGCUUCCCUUAGCAGAUCUCAUGAGAUGGAGGAGUAGUUCUGUUUGUGCGGCCAGAAAAUCAAGCACAUCUUCAGAGGCAUAUAAAAGGGGAGCCAAUGAUUCCAUUACAUCAUGGAAACUUCGACAUAUGUUAUCAAUGCAUGAGAAUAAGACUUGGUCAGGGAUCCUCCUUCCAAUUGCUGUUCUUUUCUCCAGUGACUGCACCCAGCAGUUACAUGUGAAUUAAUACUGUAAACGAAUUAAGAUCAACUCCAAGAAAUGAAAGAACAAAAGCCAAUUGGUCUUUAGCUGAUGGUGGAAGCAAAAUAUGAAUGAUACAUCCGGAUAUAAGGCAUUUAUAGAACAUCAAACUAUGCUAAAUCCUCCUCUAUAUAUAGAUGUAUGACUUAAAAUACAGAAGAGUCAACAUUUAUUUUCCCCAUUUUAUUUAAGAAAUCACCAUGAGAAUAACAUUAAUCUGAAGGUAAAAAUCUAACCCAUUCAACAACUAUGGUGAUUUAUAAAUACCCAAACAAUAACAAGCCCAUCAAAGAUCACAAUAUAAGAGAACAAUAAAAGUUUAGAGAGCUUACAUCAUCUUCAUAUAUUAUCAGCACAGUUAGUAAUGAUUUUAGUGCAGAAAGCUUUGAUCUUGAAAGCAACACCAUUGAGUUUGCAUUUUGCAUGUAAUGCAGCAUUGUUUCUCCAGUUGCUUUAGAUGCCUUCCAAUGUGAAUAAUCCCACACAUCUAGUCCUAAAUCUGCUCGUAUAUGCUCAGUGUCAAACAAACGCGCAUCCAUUGCUCUUGCAAGGUCCCCAUCAUAUUUCUGCUCGUACUUCUGAAAAGGUUUUGACUCUGCCAGAAACUGGGAAAGUUCUUUAAAUGGUCCAGAACCUAUCUUACGACCUUGAAGUUCACCUUGUAUGUGAUAAUAAAGAUCAUUGAGAAUUAAAGUUUUCAGCUCCUUUCCUUCACUGAAUAGAAAACCCAAAGUAACAAAGAUACAGAAAGUAUCAGAACUAUUUCUUUAAAAAAAGAACUCAUGAAAACUGGUGAUUGAAAUAGCAUUUAUGUGGGGCAUUGCAUUCCAAAAACAAAUUAACAUGGUAAAGUCAACAAAAAAAAAUCCUUACAAAAGUCUUAUUUCAAUGUUCAUGUAGUGUGGAAGAAUUAACAGAAAUAUGAAAGGACAGACCGGUCAAUAAAAUGUAGAAGUCAAUGCACAACAAGAAUUUAGGACUGGAUGUGUGGAAUGCUGCCUCAUAAUGAGAAAAAGAAUUAAUUAACAUUAUCAGCACUCCUUGACAUAAUGACAUAAAAUCAGAAAAACCUAAUCAUGCAAGCAGGUCAACUACUAGAGUUGUCUCUUCCACUGUUAUAUAAAGAGCCUCAGAAGAUCUGUAAUACUUAGCACUAUCAAUCACAAUAUGUCCUUUUGCAAUUUUCAUAUUUUUUUUUAGAGGGAAAAUUUAAAACAUAUAAGCAAAUAGACAAGCUAAAACUGAUAACAUCUGUUUCCAUUGUAAUACCUAGUUAGUUAUGGAUGCUCAAGUUGUAAGAAUGCAGUGAAAAAAGGUUUCAUAAAACAUGUUACCUGUAACCAUACUUUGAGUAUUGAGCCAAUAGUUCAGAAAAAGCAGGCUGACUACUCAACUGUUAACAGAAACAUACAAGCAUACAGAAGAAUUAGAUAAUCAUCAAACAUUGAUAUUUAGAAAGGAAAUAGGAACAUUAUACCUCUUUAGAUACAAGAUGAAUUUUUUGAAGCAAUGACACAGACAAACAUCCUGCGUUUGUAGUUUCCAGCUUCCCAAUCAAAUGCACAGUGAGCAAACUAACAGCAACCUGAAGAAAUAGCAGAUAAACAUAAAGACAAGGACAGGAAAUGAAACAACUUUGCAAAAAGUUAAGUACUUCUGGUGCAAACAUGCCUUCACCAAGUACCCCAACAAACCCAGCAACACAAUAUUAAAAAUAACAUUAUUUAGUGAAAACAGUUCAACUGGAGAGAGAAACACCAGAGUCAAAUCAGAUGUGCAGCUCUAUCUUAGUUAACUUGGCACAACAAACUGCAAUUCUAUGAAGUUAAAUAUAUAUAUAUAUAUAUAUAUCCAAAAGGAGAAGUACCUGAACGCUAUAAUGUAUUCCAUUGUCAUAUUCACAGGAAACAUAUAACUUGAUCAGACCACUCAAGACUGAGCUAUCACACCAAUCUGAAAAAAUGUCUUUAGGAUCAACCGGAUUUACCGCCUUUGAUUUUGCAGAACUCACAGCAGUUUCUAUCCUCUCCUUUGGCUCAAUGGAUUCUUUUACAUGUGACUCAGCAAAUAACAACUUUUUGUCCAGGAACAUGUCAUAUGCCAAUAUUUCCAAUAUAGCAGACUGACACUGAUAUUUGUAUGGCAAGUUUGCCCAUUCUGCUUCAGUCAUACUUUCACAGGGGGAAAUUCUAGUAUUAUCAGUCUUUACAAUACAGUUAGACAAUUGUUUCCAGAACUUCUCAGAGCUCUUUAGCAACUCCAAUAUAUUCGCAUACUGACCAGCGCCUUGCCAUAAGGCCUUCAAGAAGUUAAGCAUACUCAGUAAUAAGCAUGCAUUGCUGGAGAAAAAUAAAACCUUUUAAUUAUUGUGCCACUGAAACAAGAAAAACAAAAGACCCCAAAUAAUCAUAAAAGAUCCAACAAAAAGCACUCGAGAAUACCUUUCUGAAAAUAUAUAUAUAUAUAUAUUUACACAGAAGUGACUACAUAAAGAAAUGGCAGAUCUGAUAUUGCAUAUGUAUAAUAUAAAAAAGAAAGAAACCAGAAGAGCUUCAGAUUAACAUACCUGUUGAUGAGAUCUUCAGAUCUUCCAACAAAUUGAAGAAGACCCUCUACCAGGCUAGAUAUCUUGGUUCUAUGUGGUCCAAGAGAAGCUUCACUUGUUGACCGCUUCACAUCUUUAGAAUUAGUUAGCUGGACAUCUGUAUCAUCUUUCGUUGCAAAGAUAGAAACAAGGAAAGCAGGCUGCAUAAACAAUUGCUGAUAAGAAAACACUUUCUCGAAAAUAUUGAUGGUACUAUUGAGAUUGCAUCAGAAAAUAAUAUGAUUCAAUUCAAUUCAGUAUGAGAAUGAAUCAAGAAUCAUAGGCAACAAUGUGAAUCGACAGUAAAUCACACAAACUGAAGAAUUCACUCAGUUUUAAAUAAAACUAAAUGUAAUAAAUAUGUAUAACUUAUUUUCAUUUACUCGAGGAUAAUAUAAGCCAUUGAACUUUGUCAUUUUGAAAACCCAAUUAUGUACAUAAUACUAGUUAAAAUUUCUUAUUUUUAAGGUUUUCUUAAGUUUUAUGAUAUCAUUCAUGACAAUAAAAUUUGACUCAUGCUUUAUGUCCUGAAUCAUAUUAUUCAACUCAAUUUAUGCUUCCCCAUUCACAAAAUCAAAUUUUGAAUUGAAGUUUAAAUCUUGACGUAAUUAGAAUAUUCUGAAGCUUAAACAGGCAGACUUAAAAAAUUUAAAGUUUGAAUAAAAAUGCAGGCACAGAACCGGGUGUCUUGAAACAAUGCACCUUCAGGCUAAAAGAAACUGAACUUCAAACUUUUGGAGAUCGGGGAGAUAAGAGUUUGCCCUCCCUAUUUUGAGUGGGUGCUCGCAAGGUCAAAGAACUUCAUUCUAUUCUUUCAUUAAUACAGGGGUAGGGGGAAUAAAGAGUUUAAGUGAUUUACACCUCGAAGUAGAGUGUGUAAAUACCGGAUGCAUAGGUUGAGUCAUUCGCUAAACAACUCUUUUGUUGGGCGAUCAACUAGGUGCUCCUACCCAAGCGGACUAAUGAAUGCCAACUGGAAGAACUCACUUUCCUAUCGUUCAGUAGGAGAUCCCUUCUUGUGGCUUGAAAAUGAUUACCUCUUGCUAAUGGGGAGAGUUCAUGUAACAGACAAUCCCCGAUUAGGAUAACAAAUCCGAGAGACAGUUUGAGGGAGAUGAAACAAGUGAGUAAAACAUCAAAAUCUUGUUACAAAAACAAAAUUCAAUAGCAAUGACCAUGAAGGUUACCCGAGCAGAGAAAAAGGGGGCAAUAGGAAAAGGCUGAAAAAUUUUAGUAUCUAAAUUGACAAUUAUCUGCGAAGCAAUUAAGCAACAGCAAUCCAAAUUUGUAUCUAUAGCGUGAAUAUACAGUUACCAACCUGAUAACAUGCAGCAGAAUUGAGCACAUUAACUAUGGCAACAAAUAGAUCUUCAUUCAACAGGGGCUGCUCAAGUAGAAUGCAGCAAAUAGAAUCACCUAACUCUGAUAUCUAAUAUCAAGUAGGUUAUCAGUACUUGUAGUAAAAAUAAUUAACAGAAGAAGCAAACUUAAAAGCUUAACACAAUGAAAGAAUAGGUAAAAAUAAUAUUCCAACCUGCUUAUCGUCAAGACCAAAACACAUAUUACUAGACAGAUAGGGAAGUGAAAAAUCUGCCACAGUCAGUAACACUGAGAGUACUUUAGCAGCACCAACCUGUAUUGCCUGCAUGGACAAUCAAUUUUUACUGCCUUUUGUUUUAAAUAAAUGUUCCCCCCUUCCCUUUGUUCUCCAACAAUAAAGACCUAUUCUCAUCACUGACCAACAUGCAUAAAGCCUAAAUAGUCACCAAGUGAUGAACUCAAGCAUUAUAUCAAACUUCUGAGAGUAUAAUGGAAUGAAAAUACUCAAGUGGGACAGAGGCAGAACAACAAGAGCAAAAACGUAACUGCAGGAUGCACAUAUCAACUUCCUAACAAGAUGGGGCCGAGCCAACAGAAUAAAAAAUCUUAACAAAGGAGUAGGUUAAACUACAGUUGUGGAAUUAUCUGAUUAGGAAAAUAUGAACUUAACUGAACUUCGGUUAAUCACAUAAUAGUGCAGAAAGCCUUUCAUAUUAUUUGAAGACAACCAAGGGAGAUUGAUUAAUCAGUAAAAUAUGUUUAAACUCAAUAAAGGUAACUUCAGGUCCAACUGUAGCUUAAACACUUACAGGAUCUUUAGAAUAUGACAUCAGUGAUGCUACAGCUGCAAUAACAGGGAUCGGUUUGGUUGUAGAUGACAACACAGCUUGGUGAAAGACAGGAAGGCUUGAUGAUAUAUCCUGAAUAUUUGACACAGCAAAAAGUUAAUUUAUGCAUUUCACCAAAAGAAACAAAAAAAGGGACAAGAGGUGGGCCAAUUCUGCAAAAAAUAACAGCACACAUAUCCAAAUCUGACAUGGGUGACCAAGAAAAUAUUAAGGAAAUGAUUGUUGAGCAGUAAAAUAGACGAGUUUGCAAAAGGAUAUGAAUUUGAUCCACAAGAAAAGAACAAGAAUAAAAAGUAAACCUUAAGUUUCAGAUAUGGUUUCUAAUGAUCCUUACAGCUAACCUAGUUAUGAAAACAAUGGAUCCAAUAGUAGUGAUCAUGAGAAUAGUGAACGUGCAUUUAAACAGAACAAAGAACUAACGACAUGCUACUACAAAAAAAUCUUCAACAUUUGUAUGUCUAUCACACUCCAGUUCUCAGUAUACUACAGAAGUUACCUUGGAGAAUUUAGAGAGCAUUAUGUUAAAAAUAUCCAAUACAGAAGCUAUUGCAAGUUGCCAACCCUCAAUUUCCUUCAAUUCGAAGAGCCGACUGACAUAAAGUUUCUGGCAAAAUGUGUGCUAAAAUCAGGAACGGAACAAAGAUAACGAGCAUACUUAAAUUAUGAUUAUCAGUAAAAACAAUCUAUGGCAUGGCUGACCUCUAAGGUUUGUGUGGUUGUACAAACAAUUCGGAACAAUGUGCCAUGGAUGGAAGAAUUAUUAAGUAGAAUGUCCCGGACAACCUCACCCAGUUUCUCAGAGUAGGAAGAUGACAUAAUUAACACUUUCAUGACUUCAAGCACCUAAAAGAAAGCAAAAACAUGGUCAGAGAAAUUUUAGAAAUAUCUUACCUCAAUAAGUUCCUAGAGUAGACUAUGUCAAGAACAUAUGUUUGUCAUGAGAAGAUAUAAAAACCAGAAAGUUAAUACUAACCUAGCAUGCAGGCAACAGGACUUAGCUGCAUCCAUGUGCAUUUUCAAGACCAAAUUCUAGACACAAGAACUGCUGGAAGCUAGUCUUCAAAUGGACCGUCCCAAAUCAAUUCAAUAAUCAAGAAAUGUGCUGAAGGGGAUUGAACCAUGGAAGAACGCAGUCGAAAUAAAUUCAAGAAUUUGCAAAUGUAAUUUUAAAAAAAAAAAAAAAAAAGAUUAUAUAAAGGCUGAAAAACUUAGCUCCUUCGAUGUCUUUGUGGAUAGAUGAGAGCAAUCCUUACCUUUCUGGCAUUAUUGUUUUAUGUGGGGAUGAACCUACAAGAGUAUGACUCCAAAAGCUAUCUUCUAUUGCUAGUAGGUGCUUAUGACGGAGAGAUUUGCCACAAGAUUGUGAAGAGGAAAGAUGAACUCGAACAUGGAGGACUGGGUAGGGUCGAAAACUAAGGUUAUGUUUGGAACAAAUUUAGGAUUUUGAAGAAUUUAUAUGCAAAUGGCGAAAUAAAAUGACAAAAUUACCCUGGGGUUGCUUCUUCGUUGAGGAACUAGGAGUAAGCAUGGGAAAGAAUGUAAUGAUUGGAAACUUGAUAAGGAGCUGAAAGAUCUUGGUUGUUAAGUGUUUUUCGUUGUCAGAAAUAGAAAAAUGCUAAAUCAUCUUCUGUUGUGGUGCCUAUAGAGUAGACAAGAUUGAAAAAGCCCUCUAUUCCCUUGAUGAGGGUUUCUUGGGAGAAGGGAGUUCGUUGAGAAAAGUAGUGUUGGUUAGCAUUUUUGCUACUAGAGAACAAACGAAUUUCUGCUUGGUUCUUUUGUUAAUUCUUUUUGGCAUUUUGGAAAGAAAGAGAUACAAAAAAAGUUGAAGCAGAAGAAAGUUAGAAAACGUGUAGUGCUACAAGGACCAAAAGGAUGGAAUCCGUAUGCAAAAACUUUACAAGCCUAUCAACAUAUUAAUCAAGCCCCUUAAAUCCUCACUAGUAUAAAGAUGAUCUGAAUAUAUAUUUGAACUUGAGCAGCAUUCUCGUGAUCCUUAAUGAUUGACACUUUUUUCAUUAUUAAGAAAAUGUAUAUGAGCAUGCAACCACUGUCAAAGCCCAAAGCACAAACUAUACACUUGGGAGCAGGCACAUUUGUUACUGCAAUAAGCAAGGUAUACUAAAAAAGAGACUGGCAAGUACCAUCACUUUUGUUGCUAAGUUACCUCUGGAAGUAUAAAUGAAACAAUUACAGAAAACCAAAUAGUAAGCAGCUGAUGAAAAUCCAAGCAAACCUUUAGUGUUACUCUCCAACGAGCAUACUUCUCCUUGUAUUUCCAGUACUCAUGACUAACUAGAAUAUACUGCAGUGAGAAAACAACUAAUGCCACAACAAAAUCAUUUUCUACUCCUGUCUCCACAAGCUGCAAGGUGAAGUCCAGUACUGCAACAAAUCAUAACACGUGCCCAUCAGGAUCACAACAAAUAUACUAAUGCAUUAGAUAAUCAAUUCAACACUAACUUCAAUAGCAUCGGACCUGUCACUAUCUAGUACUAUGUUAAUCAAAUGAAAAUUUAUAAACAGCUAAAUAGAACACAUCUCAAUGAUCGCCUUCCCCAUCCUAUGUCUCCAUACAGAACUUAGUUUUGAUUGUAACCCAGGUUAGGUCUAAUAAAUAUAAGCAGUACACUCAAUGUGCAGAAACUCGUAUUUUGAUUUUUUUUAAAAAUUGUAUUAUUUCCUUUAAUCAGCAGGGAUAUCACCAUCACAUUCAAUAAGAUAUUUCCAAAUCAUGCAUGUAGUGCUCAAUUGAGUUUCACCGACAUAGAUCUGCAGUAUCUUACACAUCCAACUAUUGCAACUAGAAACAAAAGAAUUAGAGUGCCUGUUUCUGAAAGCAGAUCAGAUAGGAGCAAAAAAGAGAUCAAAAUAUGGCUGAAGAAACAUUUACACAGAAGAAAUGCGAUGAAUCCAGAGGUGACAAAAGCAGAGGACGGAUAACUUUUUGUAGAUUUUCAAUCUUUCAGAUAAAUGCAAAAUACUAGUACACUUCUUCAAGCUAGUAAAAGUAAAAACAAGCUUGAAAUGUAAGCUAACUGAUAUGUAACUUCUUUUGUACAUCGGUUUGCACCUCCUUGAUUCAAGUAAUUAAAGAUACACAUCACACCUUUUAUUUCAAAAAAAAAAAAAGGAAAAUAAGCUUGAAAAUUUUUAUAUCCCUAGGAAGCAACUGAGAAAAAAAGCAAUAAUGAUGGCCAGAUGCAAAAAUCAACUACUAAGAAUACCUGAGAUAACAAGGAGACGAUCAUAAUCAUUCUUCUCACAGUCAAUUAACAGCAUCUUUGCCAGUUUCCCGAAAAGCAACCAUGAUUCACUAGAAAGAACAAACCCACAGGAAUUAAAAGAAUAGCACAUCAACAGAAAGUCAAACCACUUAACUCAACGAGAACGCUUGGCACAAUCAGCGAAAAAGAGGAACUCUUUGCUGCCACCAGUUUCAAUUAAAUUCACAAAGAUGAACCAAGCAACCCAACCAUGAAAGUGAUGAUAGUGAGAAUUAAGCAUGUGAAAGAGAGGGAAAAUACAGACAAAAAGAAUGGAGACUCAGACAACAAGAAUGGAAAAGCAAUUUCAAUUUAAUAAGCGGCAUAAAAGGCAAUGUAGAAACAGCAGUUCUGAAUCAGAUAAAAAGAAGGAAAGCAAAUCCAUUGUGCAUAAAGCAUGAAAUUAACCUUGAUGAAACAUUAUGGAGACUCAUUGUUGUAGUCAUGUUAAAUAGAUUAGCCUUUAAAGCCACGGCAACAACAUGAGAUGGACAACUGCCAAAAGGAGUUGUUAGUUAAGUGCCAUAACUCUUAUAUAUAGAUUUUCAUUUGUAAGUACAGAACCAAAGGAAAUUACAGAAACAAUGCUGUAACAAAAGUCCAUAUAUUUAAAUAUAACAAUGCAAAAGGAGACAACUGCUGAAUCUCUACACAGAACAAAUAUUACCAUCUUAACAUCUUUGCCAAAAUAUCAACACCCAUGGACAAUAGAGCAGCACCACUAGGAUUAGGAGACAAAUUUCUGAAUAAAGAGCCAAUAAUCUCAACCACCCUGUCUCAAAAACCAAGCCAAAACAUACAUUUUUAAACUUAUGGAGAAAGAAAAUAUUAUUAAACUCAGAAAAGAAGGAAAAAAGAAGGAAAAACAUGCUCAAAUUUGUUACCAUGCAGUACUUUCCACCUGACUGGUAAUGGCAGUUUCAUGGACAUGUAAGGAGUUGCCAAUGUCCAAGAGAGCAAAACAUACAGCCUGCACUUAAUUCAUUGAUGAAAACUUCAGUCAGAAAAGAACGAGCUUAAGUCCAGGGCUUAAUUUUCAAUAUCCUUCCUCCCCAAAAAAAAAAAAAAAAAAAAAUCAGAAGAAGAAUGAGUUCCAGGAACAAUAGAACAGGACUUGUAACAGAGAAUAGAUUUUGUUAGAUAAGACAAGUUCUUUAUUAGCUUUUGUAUUCAUUUAUGGAAAAUUGUAAAACUAUAUUUAAAGUCACAUGAGACUCAUGUUGAGCAUUAAAGUAACAUAUAUACCAUAUUGUCUAAUAGUGAAAACAUCCAGGUAGUCAAUUUUUACAAAAAGAAAUUACUUAAUUUUUAUUUUGAAAUAAAUCAAACAAGAACAGGUAAAACUGCAAUUUGCCAAAAAAAAAAACCUUUACAAGAGAUCGAGGGGUGAGGCUACAGACAAAAGGUAACUUUCAUGAGGUCAACAAGCUUUCCUUGUAAUAAGAGACAACAAUUGCAACUUUCUAGAUUACGUUUACCUUGCUAAAGGACACCAUCCGAGCUAGAAGAUCAAGAAUCGCAAGAACUUCCCGCUUAUCAUCUGAAUAAACCCCCAUGGAAAGACGAUGGAGCAAAACAAGCACUGCAGAUUGUGCGUACUACCAAUAAAGAAUAUCAGAAAGCAUCUUAGCACAGAAAUCAGCAAGCAUAAUUCCAGAAUAAAAUGCCAUCAAAUUGUACUCUUUUGAUUGCUACAAUUAGCCACCAAAUUGUACUCUUUUGAUUGCGACAAUUAGCCAUCAAAUUCUACUCUUUUAAUUCUAUUACCUCCCACCGAACAAGAGCAGUACUUCCACCAACAAUUUUCAGAACAUGUCCACGAGUUCUACUCGGAAUGAGUAAACCUUCAACUCCAGGCACAUGCAAUGCCAAGCGAGUCUCAACAAUUUCGGAGAUGUUAUUCAACAAGGAAUCAUUAGUAACCUCAAACAAGGUUGAUAUACCGACCGACUUAUCUAGAAAAUUAUAUCUGUUCAUAGGAAAAAGAUUCCAACAUGUAAGAGGACUCAAAAGUAAUUGAAUUAAACACUAACCCUCAAAAGGUAUCAGGUGGAAAAAACAACUCGCUUUAGGUUAAAUUUCUAAAAUACUUUAUUUCAAAGAAAAAAAAAAGCUUCAAUAUCUAAAAUACAUACAGAUAUAAAUAACACCCAAAAACAGCUAAACCAAGAACAGAUGACUUUGCUUUCUAUACUUACUGUCAAACAACAUUCACUGCUUGAAACCUGAAAGGCUAACAGCAUAAAGCUGGUUUGUUGUUUUUUCUUUUGGCGAGCUAGUUUAGUGUCACAUAAAAUUGUUGGGAUGAAAAUUUCACUUAGCAGAAUACAAAGAACAUAUGGAAAUAAACCACUGGAGCUAAAUCAUUACAACAAAAAAGAAAUUGCACUGUUCAUUAUAAUUCUGAUAUUUUAGGCAAUUACAGCAAGGGCCACCAAGUUUCCCCAAGAAGCAUGAUUUAAUAAAUAGAAACCAGGGCUUUGUAAGAGUUUAUUCCAGAAUAACAAUUACUAUGCAGGGGACAGUCACAGAAUGGCAACCUAAAUCAUACAGGCAUCCAAAUGGAUGCACAUGCCCUAGUUGAAGAUUUCUAGUCUGAAAAACAGGGAGAGAAACUACACUGGUCAGCACAAGAUGCACAAAGCACAAGCAACUGCUAAAGAGCAUCAUUGUUAAUCUUGAGAGGAUACAUGACUCAACAAGACUUCAGAAGCAUUGGUUACCAUCCACCUCUCUGUGUUGUUCUCGGCCAUCAACAGAAUAUUCACAGUCAAAUGAUCCUGAUAGGAAGAUUCUCUCAAAUAUUGACUUCCUAUCAGCAGUUAGAAUCAUUGUUUAAUAGGAUUUGCACUUUCGCACUUUCGUGCUGAAAGAACUCUAAGACCACCAGAUCAAAAUCCUUUUCAUUUUUAUCACAUGCUUCUAUCAGAUAAUUUUCCAUGUCAAUGACUCAAUUCUCCCUAUAAUAGAAUGAAGAAAGUGCAAGUGGGCAGCACGUGCAAGUUCAUUGGUAUGCAUGAAUAUAUACAGAGCAAUAUGUGCUGAAAAGAUAUGAAUCAAGAACAAUAUGGAUCCUCCAAUAGCUGACUCAAUAAUGAGCAACAAUCAAGACAAUAAAGAGCAUAUUGGGAUUACCCAGCUACAAAGGAAGAUAAAAUUAUGGGUAAAGUUGGGAACAGAACAAAAACUAAUUCCCAUGCAAAUAUUACAAUUACGCAAAUAUUUUAGCUAUACACUUCAUAUUAGGUGAUGUAGUGUCCAUCAUACGUAAGCAGACAUAAGGAUCUACUAUCAGGACCGCGUGAAAUGUGUGGCUGACCAGGCGAAAUGUGUGGCCGGGGUGUCACUGGGGAGAUGUAGGGAUUUUUUAAUCUUAAUUGUUUUUGUCUCUUCUGUUCCUACUAGAAGGAAAUAAACAGGGCAAAGAGAAAUUGAGGGAAUAUAGAAAAAAACGAGAAGUCUGAUAGAAAUCACAGCUUUCUCUCUCUACAAAAAUUCCACCUUUCUCUUUUAUAUUUUCAACCAUUUUUGUCCCUAAGUAUGCUCUUUUCUUCUCCUAAGAUCCUUUCUACUUCUGCUGCAACUCUUCUUCUCCCUUAAUUUCUUCACAAAUCAGGCCAGGUUCCUAACAACUUGGUACCAGAGCCGUUCCUACCUUGGUGAUUAUGCUUCCUCCUUUUGCGUCUUCCUUCUAAUUGCUUUUCUUUCCUCUCCAGUUUCUCCUCCCUCUAUUUCUGGUCUAAUAUACUUCAAUAAAAAAAAUAAUGAACGCAAGAUCAAAUUUCCAAAAUGAUUGGUGGGAAGAGAGCAGAUGCAGGUGGGAGGACCUAAUCGGGGAGUUGAAGAGCACGCUGCAAACAAGCUGCAUUUUUUCCCUCUGUCUACACCAGUUUCGUCCAGCAUGAAUUUCUGAGGCUGGACAGAGCUUCAAUUGGAGCAGGAAGCGGCUCCACAAAAGAGGUUCAACAAUAAUAGGAGUCGAGUGAAGGACGUUUGAGUAUAUGUCAAAUAUCAUAUUUACAAAUCAGUAUCAUUCUAAAUUGGUAAGCAGGUCUGAAGAAAAUGGGCAGAUCAUGUUGGUUGACUAGCUUCAGGUUAACAUGAAUCCUUGAGGACAAGGAUUAUUUUGAUGGAGGGACUAAUGUCAGAACUAGGUGAAAUUAUGGCUGACCAGGUGAAAUAUAUGGCUGAGGUGUCAUUGGGGAGUAAUAGGGAUUGUUUAAUUUGUUUUUGUCUCUUUUAUUCCUACUAGAAUGAAAUAAAUAGUGCAGAGGGAAAUUGAGGGAAAAUAGAAAAAACAAGAAGUCUAAUAAAAAUCACAGCUUUUCUCUCUACACAAUUCCUCCUUUCUCUUCUAUAUUUNNNNNNNNNNNNNNNNNNNNNNNNNNNNNNNNNNNNNNNNNNNNNNNNNNNNNNNNNNNNNNNNNNNNNNNNNNNNNNNNNNNNNNNNNNNNNNNNNNNNNNNNNNNNNNNNNNNNNNNNNNNNNNNNNNNNNNNNNNNNNNNNNNNNNNNNNNNNNNNNNNNNNNNNNNNNNNNNNNNNNNNNNNNNNNNNNNNNNNNNNNNNNNNNNNNNNCCAGGUCCAAACAUCUACCUAUAUGAGCUGUAAGAUUGAGCAUGUAAAUUGUGCCACUCUCUGAAAGUAAUCAUAAGUAGCAUCUAAACUGGUAUACUGCAGAAGAUUCAUCAGGAGCAAAGUGAUUCAACAAAAACACAGAGUUUGCCCCCAAAAAAAAAUACACAAAGAUAGAUCUUAAGUGUCAUAAUCAAGAAACCAGAAAAAUGCGUGUGGAAAACAGAAAACCACCAAGCAUAACAACAAUGAUUCAAAAGAGAAUGCAUUUUCUACAUUGCAAGACCGAUAUUGCAUUGAGGCUCUUUAUUCUUCAGUUAACUUUUCAUUUAUAAACAACAUUAAGGGACAGACUUUGAAGAUUUUAUCUUGCAUACCACACGAGUAUACCAUUGAGGCUAUUAGAGAAACCUAAAGCAUUAUUAUAUAAACUUCACUUACGUGCAUUCUGUGGGCCAACUUCCUUCACACAGUGAUGAUAAAAGGCAAAUAAGUUCAAUGAUCCUAAGAGGAAAUUCACACUCUAAGUUGUAGAGAAGACAACGAAUAGGACCAUCAAUAAAACUUUCGCGAUCCCAAAACUGAGUACAAAGUGACUCCUGAAAAAUUGAUUGGCAAAUAUGUCUAAUUAAACAGAAGCAUGAACACUGAAGAAAAUUGGAAACCAUGAAGAUUAACCACUAUAUUACGAACCUCUCCUCGAUAAAUCUUGCAAAGAAUAUCCAGUAUCAAGUUAAGGGUAUUAUCCUCCAUCUGCAUCAUGGUCAAAGUGACAUCACUAAGAUGGCAAUUCAUUGAAUCCCUUACAAGCUACUCCAAAGAUUCCAUAAACACAGUUACCUGAAGAUUAAUCUCAUAAGAUGCAAUGAAUGCAGAGAUAAAUGUUCUCAAAACACUUCGAUAACCAGCAGCAGGUCCCUGUAAAACACGGGAGGAAAAAAUUCAGAAGAAACCUUCAGCUGGGUAUCUUUUGCCUCAAAACAUUCCCAUUAAUGGGGAUAACUAUCAGGAAGCAUCUCAGCAAAAACCCAUCGCUUGUUUGACUGGUAUUCCGCACUUUCCGCAUUACUCCAACAGUCAAAACAGCUUCUAUCCAUGCAAUAGCAGUAAUCCUCCUAAUCCCACUGUCACUUCUUCAAAGAGUGAAGAAGAGGCUAUGGGCUUGGCUUUUUCUUUCUAUAUAAAAAUAGUUAGGUAGGUAGGGAGAGAGAAUUUGUGUAAAUUGACAAUAGAAAGAUAAACAAGAUUUGGUCUAUCUCAGACGGUUCAAGAAAUAAUAUUUUACUAUCAGAUUGAUAGUCACCGAAAAAAAAAAAAAGAACAAAAAACUUAGAAAAACUUACUACUUACAUCAGAUUCCUUCAAAAUGUCACUUUGAAGAAUUUCCUGGAAAUAGCUCAAUGAAGCGGCUUCAAAAGCUUGGCGGACAUAAGCAACAUGAUCGAUCUCCUACAAUGUAAAUGAAAAUAAAAGCACUUCCAAAAUGAUCAUAUGCAGAGAUUUGAAUAUAGAAUCCAGAAAGAACCACAUACCAUCAGUACAUAAUUUUCUUCCUUCCCAGGAAGUGAUGAAAUUAGACAAAGAAACACUGCCCAAGCAAGGAUAAGAGAUCCGGCUUCUUUCAUUUGGAAAACAUCAUAGCUAGAGAUUAGUGCAUCCAUCUCCUGGAUAUCACUCAUUGAAAAGUUAAAAGUGCCACGCCUGAGAAUUGGCAACCACGAAUGAGGAAAGCAUUAACUUUUAAAAGCAUUUUUUUUUUACAAAAACCAUCAUUGCUGAUAAUAUCAGCAGAAAAUUUAAAAAAAAAAACACAACCACCAAAUUAUCAAAUCGAUAAUUCUUUAGAUACCAUAUUGAACACUAUAACACAUGUUAGAAAGAUGCAGAGCCGUAAGAAACAGAAGAUGAGAAGCAGAAAGAAAACAAACAUAAGCCUAAGAUUACUUCUUUUUCCCUCUACUAAGAACAACCUGAACCACCUGAGAUGCCUAUUAAACCACACCUACAUGCAUGGUUCCGCUGAAAAUAGUCAAUGUCCCACUUUAGAAUGAACAGACUCCGGACAACAAACAUGUCAAACACCUACAGCUACUUUUUUGGAAAUAACAAACAAAGCUACUUAGAACAAAGAACACUUGGAACCAAGGCUUUCCUCUGCUCCAGUCUCAAAGAGAAGAGCUAUAAUUUGUAAAUCAGCUCAAGUAAUUCUUUAAGAAAAACUAAAUCAGCUUAUUUUUAAAACUAAUGAUUCCCUCCUCUCCUACAUCAAAGUUGUCUCAAGAUGCAUGGGGUCAAUUUAGAUCAGCCAGUUUUUGGCUCCUGGGGCAUAAUAUUUCCUGACUAUUUUCUAGCAAGUUUGAACAUAAAUAGCUCAAUUAAUAAGUACUUUUAAGUCAAGCUCAUUUAUUCAUAACAAGUGAGCUGAGCCAAUUUGUGUUGUGAAAAUAUCCAUCAAACACGUGAACCUUUACAAAUUUCUUUUACGUCAUGGGAUUGUUUCAAGUUGUUCACAAGUGAUGUAUUUUGAUGCAUGAAUUUCAUCAAGCACAUGCGUAGAUAUCAACCCUAACAAAUAUAAGCCUAAUUUACAAGACGAUCCUCAGCAUGUUUUUGAAACAUAUUCCCCUUUCCUCUAAAAAUUGUGGAAUGAUGAGCAUAAUGCAGCACAUGCUAUGGCACAUACAAUUAGACAGAGCACAAUAGAUCAAAUGCACAAUGAAGAUUGAAAAACCAGCUUCAUUCUUAGAUACAAUUAAAUGCCUUCAUUCUUAGAUACUAUUAAAUGGAGUUUAGAAAAAAUGUGCUACAGCCUACAAUUCAGAUUCCUGUCCCUGUAAUAUAUGGGAACAAUCUAUACAUGGGAAUAGAAGCUUAACAUAAUGUAUGGCACAGUUCGUAUGUAAAAUGAUCAAACCAGUUUAAUUAACCAAGAUGUCAUCAGUUCAAUCAGUUCUCAUUUCAAGCAUGAGACAAGUGCCCAAACAUUAGGAAACUUGAGGCACGAGACACCUGCCAAUUGUUCGAUGCACUUGAGACCUCAGAAACAAUUAAAUGAGAGAAUUUACACUUGAUAAUUCAAUUUUGAUGCACAAUAGGCUUGAACACAUCACAUUCACGAAAGGCUACAAUCAAAAACUAUAAUGCUAAAGUAUAUAAUAUAUUCUCUUAUAUAAAAAAAAGUUCAAACUUUCUACAAUAUCUUUCGAUACAAAUAAAUGUAACAAGCAGCUAGUGAAAACCUGAAAGGAAUUUCGUCAUGAACCAUUUGAAGAAGACUUUCCAGGUCCAGAGUUUCAAUAAGGAUAAGUAGCAGCUGAAUUUUGGCAUGACAACAAGAACUUUGUGCUUCACUUGAUACUGCCAGUUUCUCAAAGUUGGAAGACCCUGAUAAAAUUCCCUGUAGUGUGAUGUUUAUGAGCAAAACUCAAUCAAAGACAACAUGGAACCAGUAUUUGCAUGUAAAUCUACCUUGUAGAGUGCGCACAACUUUUUCCAUCUUUCACCACUACAAGUACGAAAUGACUCAUAAUAUAUAAGGAAAAGAAUGUCCAAAACCAAAUUAUCUUCAAUCAGUGUCUCCUCCGCCCACAAAGUAAACAGAUCCACAUCCUACAAAAUAAUCCGCGCAUUGCAAAAUAGAAGUUUAUAGCUUCAACAUGAUAAUGUACAGAAUACAUAAACCCCAUGAUCAAGCUCUUACAUGUUAUAAUUAUUUUGUUAUUAGACAUCAAUCAUAAAAAAAUAAAAAGGUUAAAAGUAAAUAUCCCUGUCAAGCAUACCAUCUGCUCUGGAGGAGUGGAUGACAGAAGGUCCUCGAGGACAGAUAUUAAUUUACUUUCAAGCCCAUCAGAAAUAAGCUUCAGUGCCUCCUGCAUAACAGCACUGCCUUCUUUCAAGCUAGUUCCAAGAUAUACUGCAUCAAAAGUGAAAAUAUCGGCAAAAAAAAAUUAAGAUUCUAAAAGAACACACCACAGUAUCCGCUUUCAGAAUAUCAACAUCCACAGUCAUAAAAAAAUAGCAUUAAAUUUAAAAUUAAAAGAAAACCAGAAUAGAACAGCUGCACAAUAAACUUACAUGCAUGCAUGAGAAUCCGCCGGGUACAUUUCAGCAGGCACUGUCGCUCAAUGUAAUAUUGAAGUAAUGUCUUCAUAACAACGGUGAAAUGAACAGCAUAUGGAAAAGGGGGUGAGUUAGAUAACUAGUAGAUGGAAAUCUAUGUUAAGUAAUUGACGCCAAACAACUACCAUGGCCAGAACAUUGUCAUCAAGGUCAGCCAGAGAGGCAUAUAUCAAGAAAGAGAAAUCAACAUGUGCAUGUGUCUGUGAUUGUUGCAGUAAAUCUUGAAGGUGAAAAAGCAAAGCAGCAUUUGAGCAGAAAUCCAGAAACUAGCAUGACAAAGUAAGGCAAAACCUCCAAGAUGGUAAAGCAUGGGUCAUUGUCUGUGUGAUUAGUAAGUAAUGCUUCAAGGUGAAAAAGUCAAGAAAAUAGUUUAAGCAAAAUUCUGAAACUAGCAGGGGAGAAGAAAAGACAAGACAUCCAGGAGAAUGAACAUUUGAAUGUCAAGUUAUAUGCGUAUAAAACUGGAAUGAGUGAAGUCCUAAUUAUGAAUCAUCUAAAAAAUCAACUGUACUCACACUAUCUCAAUGUGUCCUCAUAUAUACAAGAUUAAAAUUAUGUACCUUAAAAACUCUAACAUCCUACAGUCCCCAAAACAACUAAAAAAUGCCUUUCGUGAGGUACAGAAGAUUGAACGUGGGAAUCGAAGCAAGCUACUGACCACAUGGACAAACUCUUGCACAAAAGAACUGGCAGCUGCAUGACUGGAUUCCAGCGACCUCUCCAGAAGAAUGUAUGACUGCACUUCAUCUAAAUUCUGGAAAACAAUCGAGUAAAUGCAACAACCAGAUAUUCAUACUUCCAUUUUGCACCAAAAAAAUAAAAUAAAAUAUGACAAUGCAUAUUUUUCACACUUAAUUCUCCAGGCUAUUCCAGCACAAAGAAGCAUCAUUCUUCAAACUUACUACCUUCGUUGCACAAUUAUCAAGUAAUUGUUAGACAAGUUCCAAUACAAAAAUUAUUGUAGCGCAUAUCAAGGACGAAAAGCUGACAAGUUAUCGAGCAAAACUAAAAAGACUAACCAAAUACAAACUGGAUUUGAAGAGCCUUCUCUUUCAAUUCCGGGCUGUAUGUUCAAUUCAUGAGACCCGAUCUUCACUUUCUGUGAAUUCAAUGCCUCUUUCGACUUUUGAUUCGGUGGCUUGAACAAAGACAUAGUGUCCACGAACCACGCAUGAUUCUCCUUUAGCUUCUUAACCUUUGAAAUUUCACAAUGCCCACACAAUACUCCAUAACUAUACACUNNNNNNNNNNNNNNNNNNNGUCAGAGGAGAGAGAAACAUUUUCGAGGUCGGAGAGGAUAGAAGCGAACGGAUCCCACCAAAGAGAGGAAUCGACGAAAGUAGAAGCCAUUGGAGGAGCUUACAGUGACUGAGCUUAGUACAUAGCUAAAACCCUAGAGAAAGAAGAAGAAGAAGAAGAAAAUGGGAGCAAACAAUGAUAAAAUUUUGAUUUUUCGCGCUACUGGCAAAUAUUCGGAAAAAAAAAAGGCCGUUGUUUUAGGCCCAUUGGCGCUAAUGAUUUCUGCCCAACAUCUCUUUUCCAGCCUAACGAGUACAUAAUAUAUACUGUGGAUUACGAAUACUUUGAUUUUCGAAAAAAAAAAAAAAAAAAAAGCAGAAAUAUAAAAUUAUGUUUGGUUUUGAAAAAAAAAAAAAAGUAUUUAAAUUCUACUGUCGUAUAUGAAUAUGAAAUCAUAAUUGUAAAAUUUUAAAAUAUAGGAAUAUAAUUGAUUUAAUUAUGUAUUAAAUAUAUUAUUUUUAACUAAUUUUAAAUACUAAAUAUACUCAAAAUUAAAAUAAAAUACGGUUACGUUGAAACUUUAAAUGAAAAUAAUAUUAAAUUUUCAUGUAUAAUUUAAAUUAAGUAUUUUUCGUCAUUCAUUUCGUGAUGUGCAUAAAAUUGAAUUAAACAGCAAACAAAAUUCAAUUAUGCACUAGAUGUGUUAAUUAUUAUUAAUUUUGACUAAGAUAUAAAAAAUAAUACAAUAUAAUAAAUUUAAACCAAACGCAACAUACCCACAACUCACUCCAUCAACUAUCAUAUUUUUAUUCUUAAUCUCAUUCAAAAAAUUAUUUUUAAUAUUGUUAGUAUUAUAAUAUAAUUAAAUUGAAAAUAUUAUAUUAUAAUUUUUUGUGUAAUAUUAUUUGUCUAUUUUCUGUAAUUUAUUCGUUAAUUUUUAUACUCUAAAAGUGAUAAAAAAAAUUAAUAAUAAUUUCACGCAAAUUUUCAUGUUGCUUUCUCCAAGUAUUUAAUUCUAUAAUCAAGAGCCGAAAAUUCAGAUAUAUAGCGUUGUUUGUUUUAAUUAGGAAAUAUCAUUCCAUUAUAAUUAUAUUAUUUGGUUUCUCAUUUUUAUUAUUUAUUAAAAACAUAAUGCUUAUUCUGCAUAAAUGCUUUCUAAAGUGGUUGGAUUUCAUUUAAACUUCACAAAAUCUUUCUUUAUUGCAAAUUUUAGAUUAUAAUUUUUUGAGAAUUUGAUAUGACAUUAAAUUAAUGUCCAAUUUCAUAUAUGUAUAUAUGAUGGAAUUUUUUUAAUUGAAAAAAAUUUAAAUUUUCAUUGACUUCGUUAUUCCAAAACUAAAGUGUAUUUAAAUAAGUUUACAUUAAAUUCAAAUUUUAAAAAAAUAAUCUAAAAGAUAAAUAUAAAUUAAAUAUUUUAAAAAAUAAACUCAUAUUAAUAACAUAAUUUUAAGUAAAAAUAAAUUCUAUUCAAAUUCAAACUAAUAAAUAAAAUAAAUUAUAAUUAUUAAAUUUAUUAAUUUUUUAUUUUAUUCGUAUUUUAUAUAUUUAUUUUAUAAUUACCCAAACAAAUAUAUAUAUAUGUAAUAAAAAUGGCUAGGUAGACAAAUACAUUAAUGCUUUUAUAUGUAAUGAAAAUGGUAGGUUUAGUAGCUCAAAUUGUGACAGAUAAUUGAUCUUUGAGAACAUGACAACUGAUUUAUGUCUCUGAACUUUCUUUCCCCAAGCCCACACAACAUUGAAAUAUGCAUAUCUCUUUUAACAUAUUGAUUUAUUAUAUCUUCUUAAAUGUCCAUUUAAUUAUUUUCCUUUCAUAAAAGUUUUGUAUAUAUGAAAACCUAUACAUAUAAUAAAUGGACUCAUCACUAAACUAGUUUUAAAUACCUGCGUUAAGAUAAAAGUUUAUUUAGUUUCAUGGCAUUCCAUUCUCACUAGUUAAAUAAAUAUUGGUGGUAGAUAUAUAUGUGUGUGUGUGUGUGCAUUAUAUGUUUUUAUACAAUUACAUGUACAAUGGUAGACGAAUGGCUCCUUAUAUUUUACUGUAGAUUGUUCAGAAGCAGAAAUACAUGCAAGCAGACACUGGGAAGAACCUAGUAUGCAUACUAUAACUAAAUAGGCACUAUGAAUAUGAACUGCCGUCUUAAUUAAUUGCAGUUGCAGAAAGUGAGGUUCUUCAUUUUUUUUUUUUUUACAGGUCAGAAGCCAACACCCAUGUAUAUUUGUAAAAGCUGCAUGUUACGAACAGAAGAGUUACUGGUAACUUGCUAUAUAUGACAUGAAUUUCGUAACGUAUUUUCCUAUACGGGACUAAGUAUAUCUAUCGAUGUACAGAAAAUUAAUUGUUGAAUUGGCAGAUAUUUUGGUGAUGGAGUAGUUCCAUAUCACAUUAAUGUAUCGUAUAAUAAUUUUAAAUAAUUAAUGAUACACGUUUUACUAAAAUCAAAUGAAGUAUUAUUGGUCUCUACCAGAAGUUUAAAUUUAAAUUUCAUGUUUUUGAAAUAAUAGUUUGUAAAUUUUAAUAUAUUUAUAAUAUUUAUUUUAUUAGAAAAUUAAAGUAUACGUAAGUUAUAAAUAUAUAAUUAAUAUGUAUUUUUUAAAUUUUUUAAAAUGAUUUAUGUAUUACAUGUAUUUAAAAUUUUAAAAAUUAUGUUACUAAUUAUAUAUAUUCUCAUUUUUCUUCGUCUCGUUUCUAAUGAAGUACCACUUUGAAGUAGCUUUAUCUCUUAAAGUUUUUCCCAAGCAUGCGUAAACUUAAGUUCUGCAUAUAAAUUAGUAUAAACUAGUUGAAGUUUCAUGGUCAUAUAUAUAUAUACAUAGAUACGCACACACACAUCCUAUAGAAUUCUUAAAACAAAAUCAGACACUGUUAUUACCGGAAUAGAAUCCACAACAUUUACAAACGCUGAAGAUUUUUAUUUUUAUUUUUGAAAAAAAGAGAGAAAAGAUAAAUUAAGAAAUAAGCACAUGAAAUUAAGAACAACAUCAGUAGUCUCCCACACAAAUCAAUCUUAUAAAUAAUGAAAUACACGUAACUAAUUAUUCACACAGUACUUUUUCUUCUCUUCCUCACAAGUCUUGUUUUAUCUUGUUGGUAUCUCCAUCCUCUUCGGGCUUAAUUUAUUCUGGCUACAAGACUUAAUUAAACAGUGUCUUUCGGCAGAAAACGAUACUCACGAUCACGAUCUUAUAUAAAUAUAUAUAGCCCUACUUAUACCUGCUAAUAUAUUUAUAUAUAUGCAGUAAUCGUGUCCUGCAGUAGAGAUCAGAACUGAUUAAGGAAGAGAAGUUACUGGAGGCCAUUUGCCAUACUUAGGCUUGUGGAAGUACUUCGGCGGGAUGGUCUUGGGGAAAUGAGGAAGCUUAGGAAGAGGAGGACAUGGCUUCUUGAAAGGAGGAAGCUUUGGGAUUGGAGGAAGCGGCUUAUAAAUGGGAACUGGCGUAGGAAGCAGUUUCGGGAUUGGAGGAAAGACUUUCGGAGGACAUGGCUUCUUGAUAGGGGGAAGCUUUGGGAUUGGAGGAAGCGGCUUAUAAAUAGGAACUGGCGGAGGAAGCACUUCCGGGAUUGGAGGAAGCGGCUUAUAAAUCGGAACUGGUGGAGGAAGCACUUUCGGAACAUCCGGAGGACAUGGUUUCUUUUCAGGAACUGGCGGAGGUUUAUAGACAGGAGGUGGAGGAGGAAGCACUUUCGGAACAUCUGGAGGACAUGGUUUCUUUUCAGGAACUGGCGGAGGUUUAUAGACAGGAGCUGGAGGAGGAAGCACUUUCGGAACGUCUGGAGGACAUGGUUUCUUUUCAGGAACUGGCGGAGGUUUAUAGACCGGAGCAGGUGGAGGCUCCGGUUUCUUCUUUUCAGGAACCGGCGGAGGUUUAUAGACCGGAACUGGUGGAGGCUUGACAUAGACCGGAACCGGCGGGGGAAGAAACAAUGGGGGACAUGGUUUCUUGUAGAUGGGAGGGAGAGGGAAAGUGGGGAGGGUAGGGAGAGGAGGGUACUUGAAAUAAGGCCAUAAGAAGGCUGAAGUGCAAGUUACAGGGGAGAAUUUGAGCUUCCCGGAGAGACCCAAGGUGUGUUUUUGGUUGUUUAUGGAUUUGACGAGGAGGAGCUUUGAAGAUUGUAGGCCGUCGUGGGCGGGACACGGCGCAUCUGAUGCACUAUGAAGCUGGGCGUAGCAUUCUUCUUUGAGCUUCCCGGUGGCGCCGUCGACAAUGUCAUGGGCAAGGGACACUGUGAAUUUGCCGCCUUCAUCGAGCUCACCCGAGCCUUUCGUCUUGAACCCUCCUUUUUCUUGCUUGCAGUCUAUUGUCACACGCAGCCCUGGAAUUGGACUCAAGAAAUUAAGUAACCAUGGUUUUUGGUAGAUGAAUUAGAUAUAGAAAAUUAAGGUUAUAAAUGAAUUAAAACUUGAUUAAUUAAUCAACUAAUUACCAUAUUAUUCAUCUUGUAUGUAAUGAAAAAAUGCUUAAGAUAAAACCAAAGAUUGAUGGACCUUUUGAGGCUUGAAAACUAANNNNNNNNNNNNNNNNNNNNNNNNNNNNNNNNNNNNNNNNNNNNNNNNNNNNNNNNNNNNNNNNNNNNNNNNNNNNNNNNNNNNNNNNNNNNNNNNNNNNNNNNNNNNNNNNNNUAAAUAAAUAAUUAAUUAACAUUUUGUAGAUAUAAAAUAUCACUGCAUAUGCAGUAUUACCAUUAGAUUAUUAAGAAUUAUUAGACAAAUUAAAAUCAAAAUUUAUUUAAUCAAAUAAUUGUUAUAAAAAAUGAUUUCUAAAUUACAUUGUACAUUUUUAUAUAUUUGUAUUAGAAAUUUGUGUUAUAAUAAAUAUUUAUAUGUUAUAUAAUUAGGAAAUAUGUAUAUAUAUAUAUAUAUAUAUCUUUAUCAUAUUCUUUCUCCAUUCAUCCCAUUCGUGACCAUCAGAGUACAAAAAAUUAGAACCAAGAUCAUGUCAGCAAAUCUAGGACAAGCCAGAGAAUGAACAAACAGUAUAGUAUUCCUCCUUCAAAGAAGACAGUCAUACCAAAUAAUAAUUAUCGUAAGCAAGUAAUACAUACAUAUAUAUAUAUAUAUGUAUAUAUAUAUUUAUAGAUAUAGACGAUAGUGCAUGUAUAUAAACAGUACCUGAAAAUGCAUGGCUGGGCUUAAUUUUACUCUCAACACAGCCAGCACAGUCUCCAUUCCCCACAACCUCAACUACCACCUUCUUAUCACUUGCAUGGCAGAAGACAGAGACAAAAAGUAAACCCAGAAAAAAACACAGUAGUGCUCCUCGGCAAACGGGGAGGACAAACUGCAUUUUGCAAAUUCCAAGACACCCGAUUAGAUCAGAAACCAUACAACACACUCGGUCAUUAUAUAACACACAUAUAUAUAUAUGCAGUAUUAAACCCACACCGACACCGAAGUUAAGAGCUUCACAUGAGGGUUUGGGGCCCCCCCCCAAUACAUGAGCUGUAGAGGGAGGAGAGAAGGGGUUUGAAAAAGAUGGUAACGUGCGCACCGGCUGGGCAAAACGGCAUUCAAUGACUUCUCAACUACUACUCAUCUAAAUCUUUCUUCUGUAUAUAUGUAUAUAUAUAUAUAUAUAUUAUAUAAUCAUUAUUGUUAUCAUCGUCAUCAUCAUCUUUUUCUCUCCCUUAAACCUACUUACCAGCUCUUGUAAUAAAUACUCUUACUUUUUAACAAUUGGGAGUUGAAUCACAGCAGAUGUUCAUGCUUCUUUUUGGAGUAUUACUUGUAAAGAAGUAAUUUCAGGCCUCAGAAUAUAUAUAAAUGUGUGUGUAUAUAUGUAUGUACAUUUUCGGCGUUUAUCUUAGAUAAUUGAGCCACAUAUAGAUAUAGAGCUCCAAUUUUUCUCGUGAAUCAACGUCUAAUAUGCCAUGGAACUUAAUAUAUAUCAGAAUUCAAUACACAUAUACAGACGUGUAACAUUUGCAUGCACAUACACGUAUAUGUGUCUGUGUGUAAACGUAUAUUUCACUGAUUCUCUUCUUUCAUGAUCCCAAAAUUUACCAAUAAUUAAUUAGUUAAUACUACAUGCAUGAUUUAGAGGGUUUUGAUUAUUAUAAGCAAUCAUAUUUUCACCUAAUUUUCCGGCGUGUAUGUAUAUUGUAUGUAAAUGCACAUUUGGCUUAGCAGACAGGCUGCGUGUAUGCAUAUAUAUAUAUAUAUAUACAUAUAAUAAUAUUCAGAUUUCAUAUAUAAUUUAUAAUUUGCAUUCAUAUAAUUCAAAANNNNNNNNNNNNNNNNNNNNNNNNNNNNNNNNNNNNNNNNNNNNNNNNNNNNNNNNNNNNNNNNNNNNNNNNNNNNNNNNNNNNNNNNNNNNNNNNNNNNNNNNNNNNNNNNNNNNNNNNNNNNNNNNNNNNNNNNNNNNNNNNNNNNNNNNNNNNNNNNNNNNNNNNNNNNNNNNNNNNNNNNNNNNNNNNNNNNNNNNNNNNNNNNNNNNNNNNNNNNNNNNNNNNNNNNNNNNNNNNNNNUUUUGUUAAAUUUAUUAAUUAACUCAUAGUUUUAUUAAAUUAUUAUUUUUAUUAUAUAUGUCGAUAUCACAUAAAUAAUUUUAACAGUAUAAAAAAAUAAAUAAAUACAAUGUAAUAAAUGACGUUCCCAUUUUAAGGAGGAUUUGAGUUUAUGCUAUUGGGUCAGAAUGGUUAAGGAUCCAUCGUAACUUUAAAUCAGAAACUUCAACGAGGUUUUUCCAUUUUGUAAAUUCGUGUAUGUAUAAAUAUUUAAUUAAAUAAAUUCAUAUAUUUAUUAUACUCGAAGAAUUUUCAAAUUAAUCCCAACAUUGUUGAUUUUCUUCUUCGAGUUAGGAGUCCUGUAUCCUCCUCUCUGCAAAUCUUAACAAACACACCGAAGAAACCAAUUGUAUUUUACUCUCCCAAAUCGAUCAAAACAAAUCAUUACUAAUUCAUUUACUUUUUUUUUUUCGUAAAAUAUAAAUUUAUGUUGAUUCGAUUUUUACUAUGUAUUACGAAUGACUCGUCGAGUUUUUCAAUCAAAACUUCACUUGAAUCCCAUUUACUACAGGACGCUUACCUAAAUGUUGGCUAGGUAAGCGUCCUGUAGUAAGAGGAGUAGUUAUGAACCCUGUAGACCAUCCCCAUGGAGGUGGUGAAGGGAGGGCUCCAAUUGGUAGAAAAAAACCCGCAACCCCUUGGGGUUAUCCUGCACUUGGAAGAAGAAGUAGAAAAAGAAAUAAAUAUAGUGAUAAUUUGAUUCUUCGUCGCCGUAGUAAAUAGGAGAGAAAAUCGAAUUUCUUUCUUCGUCUUUAAAAAAAAAAAUAGGAGUUAAUUAACUGUGACACGUUCACUAAAAAAAAAUCUUUUUGUAGCAAAUCAUUUAUUAAAAAAAAUAGAGAAGCUUAAUACAAAGGCAGAAAAAGAAAUAAUAAUAACUUGGUCCCGGGCAUCGACCAUUAUACAAUAAUCUAAUUUUGUGUUGAAAAUUAUUACAAUUCUAUAAAUUGAACUUUAUAAUGUUUUAUAAGAAGUGUAUAAAUAUUCUACCAGAUAUGUCAUGUAAUAUAAAUCAUGAGUUUCCUAACUUCAAACAUAUUUAAAUUUAAAAAAAAAAUAUCUACGUUAAUUAUCACGCAAUCACCUAAAUUAUAGUAUUUAAUUU
rnacentral:lncRNA from 1 species